AUGACAUAUUCUUGCUUUGAUAAGUUUGUAGUAGGAAGAAAAACUUUAUUUUGACUUUUUUGUGCAACGUCAUAUGAGCAGAAUGAUGCAAUUUUUGUCAAACUUUGAGAGCUUCUAUUUUGCAAACGCGUGUAUGUAAAAAAUAUCUCUUUUAGGACAAGAAAGCCUGUUCGCUAGCGUAAUGAAUGCAUGUAAAAAUCUUGUUCUGAAACACUUGGUUAUAUGUAUUUUUUACCAUGAAAAAUUGUUCUAAUUCAUGCGAAAUGCUCGCGAAAAUGAGUGAUUUUGAAACGUAAAUAUCUUAUUCACUUCUCAAUGAAAAUUCAUGUUGUUGGUCUCAUUCGACAGCUAAACCCUUUCUUGUUUCGAUGUUAAUUUGUCAAAAUUUACACAAAUCUGGAAAUAGAUGAUUUUUAGCUCAGAAGUGACAGACCGUAAUACCGGCAUAACAAUGAUGCGCCAUUUGCGAAGUUGCAACUUUCAACCGUCGUAGUUUUCUAAUGCACGAACAGAAAAAAUAUCUGCUUUAGAAUCAGAAAGCCAGUUACCCAGCCUAAUAAAUGCAUGCAAAGAUUUUGUUCCAAAACAUUUCGAUGUAGUAGAUUUUUAACUCUGAAAAAAGUGACGGAAUUCGUCAAAAUAGGCACGAAAAUGAGUGAUUUUCAGACUUGAAUAUCUUAUUCAAUCUUCGAUGUAAAUUCGUGUUCUUGGUCUCAUUCUAUAGGUAAACCCUUUCUUGUUUUAUGAUAAUUGUGUCAUAAUUUACAAUCUUAGGGAAAGACUUAAUUUCUAGCUCAGAAAUGACACACCACGGUAAACAACAAAAUGGCCGCUCCGUGACAACAAAGGUACAUGUUUGGGCGAUAAUUCUGCAAAAAGUAAACAAGAUACGCAACUGACAAUUUGAUACCACAAAGACAAAUGUCUCCGCUUUACAAUGAGACCAUUUUCGGCUUUCUGCGAUCAGAAUUGACUUCAAAACAUCGAUUUCAAAUUGCCCUGUCGUUCACCAUCUCCGAACUUUUUCUGGAAACCCAAGUCUAAAAUUAGACCGUAUUUUCCGAAAUCUGGGCGGUGACCUGGGUCACGUGGGGUCAAACGUGAGGUCAAACUAGGUUCAGCAAGGAGCGGGAGUAAUGGCUUUGCGCGCGAACGUAUUUCUGUGGAAUAAAAUCAUUUUCUUGUGCUUGCAGAUGGAGGGAGCUGAAAAAUCUUUAUGACAAAUUACGUCUCAGAAUGUCUGCCGUCGAAAACUACCAAGGAUGGACUGGGAUGGCAAUUACAGGAGACGAAAUCUGCAUGCAAAGCACUGUGAUGUGAUUUGUACAGGCCAAGAUGUCUCAAGUUUUACAACCAAUCAACCAUAUUGAAGUUUUGUGUGACAGAUUUUCCACAGCAAAAAAAUAAGAGCAUUGUUGUGAAGUGGUGAUCUGCCAAAGAUGUUACAGCAGUGGUGUGUGACAAAACUUCCAAAGGCACAAUUAUGAAAAGACAAUCAGGCUGUCAAACCGACAAGAUGCUAGAGCUCACAAUGUUGUCUGCAUUUUUGAUGACAGAACAGUGAUGUGUGCUUUUUAUUUUCGAAGAAGCAAAGAGAUAGACUCUGAUGUAUUUCAUAUUUACAUUUAUUGUUUUGUAUGAUACAAUUUGCCCGUACAAGUGGCUAUGCCCGUAAAAGAGGCACACUAUUGCUUGUUGUGUUUGUUAUCUGUCAGUAUAAAAAAGUAAUGUCAAUCUCCUGAGAUGAUGAUUUGUGCUGAUUCGUCUGUAUCAUAAGUCAUAUGGCUUGUCCCGUCUGUCCGAAAUUAUACUAUACCGACUCGUUUGCCAAGUACGCUGUCUUAAUGAAAUAUUGAUAGUACUUGGUAGACAAGUGCGGUCUAUCACAUCUCGGAGAAAUAUGAUACAUCAAGUAAGGAUCGUUGGCAAAUACAACGUGACACGUUAGGAAAAAUACAGUCAAGCUGAAAAACUUUUAAUAGAGUCUUACUUUUGAGAUAUUAGAUAAGGCAGAGUAAAACAAAAUUGAUUGCUGACUGAUCAUUUUUUUCCUGAACGUCUCAUUUUAUUUUUGCCAACGAGUCUUUCUCAUAUCCAACAGUACAUGCCAUUGCAUCGAACUGCAGUCAAACCUCUGAUACUGUAGUAUGAUGAAAAAGUAUAGCAUCAUGCAUCGUCUCAUUGCGAAUAAAGCGAUAACUCUUACAUACUUGAGAAUGACAGAGUUACAUCUUUUUGAAAACCAUUUGUCAACCUUUCGAGUAAGCUGUAAUACAAAAUCAUAAUAAGACUCGUAUCAAACUAUCAGAAUGCCAAAACAUGACCAUAAGGCUAUAUGAUAGCGAACGUUACUCAGAGAUUUGAAAUGCUUUUCGAUGCAAUAGUAUUCUAUCCCAGUCCUUACAUGGUGUUGAGCAUUUUUUCCUAGUCCCUUGUUUGGAUUUCUGAUCGGCAUGGGUUAAGUGUCAAUGUUGGUUGUAAUCGCCCGACUCUAUAUUUGGCGAGGCAGCGAAGCCAGUAUAGGGAAUUGCUUAACCCGACGCUGCGAGAAUUCAUGGAUAGGGAUUAGAUGCCUUUGCUCCGCCAAAGGGAAGCACGAUGUUCCCUCUAAUGAGAUGUGCGAAUACACUCUUUGGUUGCCUAACUGUCCGGACGCCGCAGUUAGAUGUAUGGGGAAGGGCAUCGAAUGUCUAUCCAUGAUACCGAUCCUUGUGAUUCUAAGUUUGAUCUGGCAUUGAAAUCAUACUGUACUACAUGUUGGAAUUUUGUCCCGAUGCGUCACAGGAUAGUUACCAUUUUCUCACUAUCCUGUUGCUAACUUUUUCCAAAUUUCGAUCAGUAGGGAAACAAAACAACAUGAUGUUGGAAUUUUCUCCUAAAUUACUAAUGCAUAACACGUUGUUGAACAUCAGUGUCCAAUGUAGGGAGAAACUUCUCCUAAUUCAAAACGAUGAUACCUAAGAAAUGUCAAAGCAU
rnacentral:lncRNA from 1 species